rnacentral:tRNA from 1 species
GGAUGUAGCUCAGUGGCAGAGUGUUUGCCUAGCAUGCAUAAGGCCCUGGGUUCAAUUCUCAGUACCA